rnacentral:rRNA from 1 species
UACGUAGGGUGCAAGCGUUGUCCGGAAUUAUUGGGCGUAAAGAGCUCGUAGGCGGUCUGUCGCGUCGGAUGUGAAAACCCAGGGCUCAACCCUGGGCCUGCAUUCGAUACGGGCAGACUAGAGUUCGGUAGGGGAGACUGGAAUUCCUGGUGUAGCGGUGAAAUGCGCAGAUAUCAGGAGGAACACCGGUGGCGAAGGCGGGUCUCUGGGCCGAAACUGACGCUGAGGAGCGAAAGCGUGGGGAGCAA